ACUCAAAUGAAUUGACGGGGGCCCGCACAAGCGGUGGAGCAUGUGGUUUAAUUCGAUGCAACGCGAAGAACCUUACCUACCCUUGACAUCCUGUGAAUCCUGCUGAAAGGUGGGAGUGCCGCAAGGAACACAGAGACAGGUGCUGCAUGGCUGUCGUCAGCUCGUGUUGUGAGAUGUUGGGUUAAGUCCCGUAACGAGCGCAACCCUUGUCCUUAGUUGCCAGCAUUUAGUUGGGGACUCUAAGGAGACUGCCGGUGAGGAACCGGAGGAAGGCGGGGACGACGUCAAGUCAUCAUGGCCUUUAUGGGUAGGGCUACACACGUGCUACAAUGGGGCGUACAGAGGGUUGCCAACCCGCGAGGGGGAGCCAAUCUCACAAAGCGUCUCGUAGUCCGGAUCGGAGUCUGCAACUCGACUCCGUGAAGUCGGAAUCGCUAGUAAUCGCGAAUCAGCCAUGUCGCGGUGAAUACGUUCCCGGGCCUUGCACACACCGCCCGU
rnacentral:rRNA from 1 species